CAGUGGCAAACCACUUGUUUCAAAGGGUCUUGAAUUCUUUUGGUUUUCCCGGUAUGUUCCUGUGGUGGUUCUUGGAGCAAAAAUUCACAGUGUGAGUCUCCACAUGCUGUUCUGUUCAUCCAAGUGGGAGCUGCAUGUUAGUCCUGUCUCCUAUCUGCCGUUUUAUCUCAGUUUGCCAGAUAAUUAUGUAUCCUAAUCCACAUUUUGCUUGUUUUUGAUAAGUGUUUUCUUAACAUCUAUUUAUUUAUUUUUGCCCAAGUGUCUAAGAAAACAACGCCUGUAAACAAGAUAGUUGAAAAAACUUUCUCCAUUUAAUUCUAUUCGAAGUAAUUGUAUCUGGGGUAAAGUCUGACAUUGGUCUGAAGCAGAACUGGGGAGUGGAAAAGCUAUACCUGGUUAAGUAGUCUCUGUAUCUAUAAUCAGGUAUAAUGAUGGAGUCCAGAAGCUUACUGAGAAAAUGAGACUGAUGAUAUUGUCAUUUGCAUGCUCUGAUGACACAUGGUUUGUUGAUGUACAGUAAACAUAGUAAAUAUGCAUGCAUGCAGUUUAUUCGCCACAUUUCCCCCAGGAACUCUCUCUGGUUAGGGAAUGAAAGAAUUGAAGGAAUGGGGGAUGUACAGGUGGAAGUAAAAGGCACACCUUGAACGUGCUAUGAUGGGUUGAAGGGUUGAAAAGAGGUUGGUCUGAAAUUGAUGAGCCUCCCAUUUCAGAAGCUCAGGAAGUUUGUGUCCAGGAAAUAUGCAUGCCUUCAGCCAAAUCCCUUGCACCUGAUAGAGCAGAAGCAGGCACUGCCUACCCUGGCCUGGGCUGUCUGCUGGCUCUCAUGUCAGGCAUUUUCUGGGCCUGGCUGUCGCAGCUAGUGGGAUCACUAACAUUGCAUGGCCAUGGCGUUUUGGCCUAAACAAACAGGUGAGGCCUGGCUCUGUCUACACAGCAGCAAAAAAGGUGACUGAUUAGCAGGAGAUCUGUAGUGCACAAAUAAUGGGAGAGGGUGGGCUUGUCAGCAUUAGAUAAUGACUCCAAAAUGUAAUGUAAACUCACAAGGAGGGGGUGACUCAAGGCUGGACACAUGACUAAGUAAGAAAAUGUGACUCUGUGAGCUGACCCAACUUCUAAACAAACCUCCUAAUACAGUCACAGUGUGUUUCAGUCCCCUUGACUCUAAACCAUCACAGAAGCAGAAGGAAGAGGAAGUGGUGGACUGCACAGCUGGAGCCUGGGGACUGUCAUGACUGUCUAGAUCUCUGAGGUCAGAGGGUGUCACAGCCUCCUCAGACCCUGAACCUGGGAUGGAGAGGGGGAACAGGAUAUAGAUUCCCAGGAGGGCUGUCCCCAAGGCCCUCUCCCUGCCUGUCUGGCUCCUCGGGCCUCCUCUUCUACCGCUUCUUCUUGGUCUCUUUCUUGG
rnacentral:lncRNA from 1 species